CCCUUAGAUGUCCUGGGCCGCACGCGCGUUACACUGAUGCAUUCAACGAGCUUAUAACCUUGGCCGAGAGGCCUGGGCAACCUUGUUAACGUGCAUCGUGAUAGGGAUAGAUUAUUGAAAUUAUUAAUCUUGAACGAGGAAUUCCUAGUAAACGCAGAUCAUCAAUCUGCAUUGGUUACGUCCCUGCCCUUUGUACACACCGCCCGUCGCACCUACCGAUUGGAUGGUCCGGUGAAGCCUCGGGAUUGUGGUUCUUGCCGCUUUAUUGUGGCGUGACCGCGAGAACUUGUCUAAACCUUAUCAUCUAGAGGAAGGUGAAGUCGUAACA
rnacentral:rRNA from 1 species